ACGAACGCUGGCGGCGUGCUUAACACAUGCAAGUCGAACGGAAAGGCCCUGCUUGCAGGGUACUCGAGUGGCGAACGGGUGAGUAACACGUGGGUGAUCUGCCCUGCACUUCGGGAUAAGCUUGGGAAACUGGGUCUAAUACCGGAUAGGAACCAUCUUUAGUGUGGUGGUUGGAAAGUUUUUUCGGUGUAGGAUGAGCUCGCGGCCUAUCAGCUUGUUGGUGGGGUAAUGGCCUACCAAGGCGGCGACGGGUAGCCGGCCUGAGAGGGUGUACGGCCACAUUGGGACUGAGAUACGGUCCAGACUCCUACGGGAGGCAGCAGUGGGGAAUAUUGCACAAUGGGCGCAAGCCUGAUGCAGCGACGCCGCGUGGGGGAGGAAGGCCUUCGGGUUGUAAACUCCUUUCGCUAGGGACGAAGCUUUUUGUGACGGUACCUAGAUAAGAAGCACCGGCUAACUACGUG
rnacentral:rRNA from 1 species